rnacentral:snRNA from 1 species
UAAAGAAGAUUAGCAUGGCCUUUGGACAAGGAUGCCGUGCAAAUUCGUGAAGCUGUCCUUAUUUUU